rnacentral:rRNA from 1 species
CCUACGGGAGGCAGCAGUAGGGAAUAUUGCUCAAUGGGGGCAACCCUGAAGCAGCAACGCCGCGUGGAGGAUGAAGGCUUUCGGAUUGUAAACUCCUUUUGAUAGAGAAGAUAAUGACGGUAUCUAACGAAUAAGCACCGGCUAACUCCGUGCCAGCAGCCGCGGUAAUACGGAGGGUGCAAGCGUUACUCGGAAUCACUGGGCGUAAAGAGCGCGUAGGCGGGAUAGCAAGUCAGAUGUGAAAUCCUAUGGCUUAACCAUAGAACUGCAGUUGAAACUGUUAUUCUAGAGUAUGGGAGAGGUAGGUGGAAUUCGUGGUGUAGGGGUAAAAUCCGUAGAGAUCAAGAGGAAUACUGAUUGCGAAGGCGACCUACUAGAGCAUAACUGACGCUGAUGCGCGAAAGCGUGGGGAGCAAACAGGAUUAGAUACCCUUGUAGUC